GCCCUCGUGGCUCAGUGGAUAGAGCGUCUGGUUGCGGACCAGAAAGUCGCAGGUUCGAAUCCUGCCGAGGGUA
rnacentral:tRNA from 1 species